UGGAAGGUGUUUAGUAUUGAUCCAGUAUGUGGUGACAGUUGUCAACUUGCGCCGUGGACCUGCUGGUUGAACUCUUCGAUCCUCUCUGGAGGGAAUAAUAUCUCUGUAGCACAACAUGCCGAAAAGGAAGUCUCCUGAAGGGGCCCAUGCCAAGGAUGCCUCCAAGGUCACCAAGCAGAAGGUCACCAAGCAGGAGCCCACCAGGCGGUCAGAGAGGUUGUCAUCGG